rnacentral:rRNA from 1 species
UUAGAGUUUGAUCAUGGCUCAGGACGAACGCUGGCGGCGUGCUUAACACAUGCAAGUCGACGAGGUCCAUCCUUCGGGAGAAGACCGAGUGGCGAACGGGUGCGUAACACGUGAGGAACUGUCCCGGUCUCUGGGAUAACAGUUGGAAACGACUGCUAAUACCGGAUGACGUCGGAGCGCGCAUGGCGCGCUGACGAAAGGGUUACCGGAUCGGGAGAGCCUCGCGGCCUAUCAGCUUGUGGUGGGGUAACGGCCUACCAAGGCAUCGACGGGUAGCUGGUCUGAGAGGAUGAUCAGCCCACUGGGACUGAGACACGGCCCGGACUCCUACGGGAGGCAGCAGUGGGGAAUCUUGCGCAUGGGCGAAAGCCUGACGCAGCAACGCCGCGUGCGGGAAGAAGGCUCUCGGGUUGUAAACCCUUUCAGAAGGAACGAAACUGACGGUACUUUCAGAAGAAGGUGCGGCCAACUACGUGCCACAGCCGCGGUGACACGUAGGCACCAAGCGUUGUCCGGAUUUAUUGGGCGUAAAGAGCUCGAGGCGGUUCAGUAAGUCAGGUGUGAAAUCUUUGGGCUUAACCCAAAGCGUGCAUUUGAUAUGCUGUGACUUGAGUUCGGUAGGGGGGUG